GUUCGUAUCUCAGAAGACCCUCUCUGAAUAGUGUCAUUGUAGAUAUAGUAGUGCGUAACACUAACCUGAUUUAAACAGCAGAGAGGCUGCACCCUGACUUAACCAUGGGCAAAGUCGUUUAGUGUAGUGUUAAAUAAACCCCCAUCCAGACCUGUAGUAACACAGAGCAGCAGUUGUAUAACGCUUGAAAAAAAACAGGAAACACAAACAAGCACAGCUAUGAAGAAAUUCAGUACACAGGGGAUCAGCAGGAUGGAUGGAUGGAUGGAUUGUGGCCAGAGCAGCACAUUUCAGGUAAACAGAGAUGGGUAGGUAUUAGGAUGAUUAGUAGGGAAUGUCCUUUCUCUUGCAGAUGGAGGAUAUUGAGGAGAUUGCUGGACAAAACUUGGAGAGAAUUGUUGGAAACUGCUAGAAGACAUCACUUUGAAGAUGGCAGGAGAGAAACUGUGAUGCACACAGGAA
ensembl:lncRNA